rnacentral:tRNA from 1 species
CAUUGAGAAGCUAUGCAACAGCACUAGCCUUUUAAGCUAACUAAAGAGGGAUUACCCCCUCCUCAAUGA